rnacentral:ncRNA from 2 species
GGAAUACCGGUGCGAAUCCGGAGCGGUCCCGCCACUGUGACCGGUCUCCCGACGAGGGGCCCGGAAGCCAGGAC